rnacentral:rRNA from 1 species
GACAGAGGGUGCAAACGUUGUUCGGAAUUACUGGCGUAAAGCGCGUGUAGGCUGCUCCGAUAGUCGGAUGUGAAAAGCCCUGGGCUCAACCUGGGAACUGACACUCGAAACUGCCUUUCUUGAGUGCCGGAGAGGAAAGCGGAAAUUCCUGGUGUAGAGGUGAAAAUUCGUAGAUAUCGAGAGGAACACCGGUGGCGAAGGCGGCCUUCUGGACAGUGACUGACGCUGAGACGCGGAAAGCGUGGGGAGCAAAACAGG